GCUUACGGCCAUACCACAUUAGGCACGCCCGAUCUCGUCUGAUCUCGGAAGCUAAGCAGGGUCGGGCCUGGUUAGUACUUGGAUGGGUGAUCGCCUGGGAAUACCAGGUGCUGUAAGCA
rnacentral:rRNA from 1 species